UGCAGGAUCAACCAGGUAGCAUUCCUCGCGGACGUCGGGUCGCAAGACGCGCGUCGUCAGUGCGACGCCGAACGUCGUUCGGACGCGGCGUGUGAUGCCGAUUCGUGGGCAAGCGCAGGUCGGUGACCUCGCGCCCUUAGCGUUUUCCGCACCCCAGAGGUCGAGCGAGCGCCCGCGUGCCGCAACGACCGCGCCGAGCGCGGGCCGUGCGGAGCGCGCGCGCCGCUCCGAGGUUCGCCCGCAACCGCGCCACGCGAGUGGGCGGCGCCGAGCGAACGGGGGAAGGAUGGGCCGUCGAAUUCCGUCGAUGUAGGUAGGCAACACAGGAAACCAUCGGGGGCGGCCAAGGCAAGAGUCGCGCUUGGGCCAACGAUUGAAGAGGAACGCACGGGAGGAUGUCGUUGCCUGAGCAAGGAUCCAA
rnacentral:misc_RNA from 1 species